UGGGGUGUCGUCUAAUGGUAGGACAGUGGACUCUGGAUCCAUUAAUUGGGGUUCGAAUCCCUGCACCCCAG
rnacentral:tRNA from 1 species